UCCAGGUUUUAUUUUUCUAUUACGAAAAAAAAAAUAUUUUCAUAACCUAGCCAAUGACCUAAACCUGCGUCCUAACCAUAAAAAAUUUACCCAAUCGCUUACCACUCAACCAAUAAAACACCCCUAGCAUUAUUUGCGGAAGAAAUGUAUAGAAGCUAAUCAGAUUCUUAGUAAUCCCGACCUUCCAAAUCAACAUCAUAGACCCUCUAUCAUUUGUCAUAAUAUUUUCGUCAUAGCAUUUUUAGUUGUUUACUUGUUUGUUUGCAUAUUAUUCACGUAAUUACUCUCGAAUUUGUCAUUGCAUUCUUACUUUUGUCUUAUCAUAGCAUUUUCCAUUGUUUAUCAGUUACACAUUUUGCACACAUCAUUAUUCCUUCAAAUUACCACUGCAUUCUUAUCAUUAUUUUUGUCAUAACAUUAAUCAUACUUCAUUAUAAUAAUUCGACCAUUUUAUACCUAAUCGAUCCUUGUGGAGACGAUCUCACUUAUCAAUUUAUUACUUGAUUCAACAUGUAUACUUGCACAAUUCGCAUAUUAUUUCACACGCGAUAGGCGGCGGUGGUGGUAGAGGUUCGACGACAGAGGUGGCGGUGCUACAGUGGAGGAGGAAGAAGAAAAGUGUUGCAGCACUAGAGAGGGUAAGGAGAAAAGAAAAAGAAAGAUAAAGAGUGGUGGUUGCAGUGGUGCGCGGUGGAAUAGAAAGAAGAAGAGAAGAGGAGGAUGGGUGAUAAAAUGGUGGUGUUUAGGUCGAAUGGUGGUGACUAACGCUGGAGGAAAGGAGGCCAAAAUCAAAAUAAUGGUGGUUUAAGGUGGUGUAAAAGGGGAGGAGGAGAAAAAAAAAAGAGGAGCAACUGAGGGGAAUGAGAAAAAUGAAUAGGAAAAUAAAAGAUGAACAAAAAAAGGUGUCAUUCAUCUUAUCCAGGUUCAAUGUAUGACACACAAGGUAAGGGUGAAGAAAAUAGGGAUGUGGAGGGGACAAAGGAGAAAAAUGUAACAUCCUGAUUUUGGGUCUAGUCGGAACAGUAGUUUCGGGACCACAAAUCCGAUGAGAAAAAAAUUAUUUUAUUAUAUUUUUAUGGUCUACGAUUUCAAAAAAUGAAUUUGAGAAAAUUUUGUUCAAAAAUUUCGAGUUUGGGCACUCAAUUUAGUCAAAAGGACUAAAUUGUAAAAAGUGCAAAAGUUGAGUUCUACAUGUUAGUGGUGUCCAAUUGUUAUGAAAUUUUAAAUUUGAGGUCUUUAUAUGGUAAUUAGACUAUUGGUUAAUUUGGUAGACAAAAACGGACAUGGUUAGGCAUGUUUCCAAAGUUUUUCAUUAAGGGCAUUUUGGUCAUUUAGUUAUUAAAAUGAAUUAAAAACAAAAUUAAAAGUCAAUUUUUGUCCAUCUUCAACCCCAUGGCCGAAUUUCACAAGGGGAAACCAUGGUUAGGGUUUUUCAAGCUUCCAAUUUCGAUUGUAAGUCUGUUCUAGCCCCGUUUUUAAUGUUCUUUACAUUUUUAGAAUCCCGGUAGCUUAAUUUAGCUUAUUCUAGCAAUAAUUUACCUAGGGUUCAUAUUUGGAAAAAAUACCCAUAGGUGAAAUAUGUUUAUUUUGAUGUUUUAUGGUAGAAUAUGAAGCUAGAAAUUAUGUUAAACAGCUUUUGCUAGUCGAUUUUAAGUGAAAACGAGUAUAUUGACAUAAUCGGCAAAAAUACCUAAUGUUCAUAAGUAAGUGUUAGAGUAAGAAUUUAAUGUUGUCAUAGAAGGGAAAACUUUUCAGCAUGUUAUAAAACAUAAGAAUAAGAGAUGAAGUUUAAUUUCCGAGCUUUAGGGCAAAAGUGUAAUUAUGCAAAAGUUUAGGGGCAAAAUCGUAAAUUUUCCAAAGUUCGAGUCAAGGAUUGUAUUGAUGAAUGUGAGUAUUAAAUAAGCUAAAUUUGCAAUUAUAGAUCAUGAAGAAUGAAAUCUGGAGCUAGACUGGGGAAAGAAAAGAUUGAGGACUAAAGUGUUAAAUUUGAUCACAUUUUUGUACUGAGUAUUAUCAAGCAUAGUCGGGAUCUUGAAGACGUCGGAGAGUGUUCACACUAUCAACCACCACAACUUGGUAUUUUAAGACGAUAAAUGUUUCGAGCUAUGGCAUGUAUAGGGACUUAGUCAUUUCGAUUGUAUAUUUUUAAAUUAUGACCAAAAGAUGAUAUGUAAAUAUUUUAUGAUGAAUAGUUAUUAAAAUAGCUAAGUAUGAA